GGGUGUAUCGCUCAGUGGUAGAGCAUUCGACUGCGGAUCGAGAUAACCCCGGCUCAAAACCGGGUUUCCUCU